GCUGAACGCUAGCGGCAGGCUUAAUACAUGCAAGUAGAACGGGAUUGAGAAACUUGCUUUUCAUGAGAGUGGCGCACGGGUGCGUAACACGUAUGCAACCUACCUUGUCCAGGGGCAUAGCCCGUCGAAAGACGGAUUAAGACCGCAUAACAUUGAGCUGUGGCAUCACAAAUCAAUCAAAUAUUUAUAGGGACAAGAUGGGCAUGCGCCCUGAUUAGGUAGUUGGCGGGGUAAUGGCCCACCAAGCCGACGAUCAGUGGGGGAUCUGAGAGGGUGCCCCCCCGCACUGGUACGGAGACACGGCCCAGACUCCGCCGGGAGGCGGCAGUACGGAAUAUGGUUCACGGGGCGAAAGCCUGAACCAGCCAUGCCGCGUGCAGGAAGGCGGCCCUACGGGUUGUAAACUGCUUGCAUACGGGAAUAACCCCGGUUUCGUGAAACCGGCUGAAUGUACCGUAAGAAUAAGGAUCGGCUAACUCCGUGCCAGCAGCCGCCGUAA
rnacentral:rRNA from 1 species